rnacentral:rRNA from 1 species
GACGAACGCUGGCGGCGUGCUUAACACAUGCAAGUCGAACGGAAAGGCCCUGCUUUUGUGGGGUGCUCGAGUGGCGAACGGGUGAGUAACACGUGAGUAACCUGCCCUAGACUUUGGGAUAACUUCAGGAAACUGGGGCUAAUACCGGAUAGGAGCUCCUGCUGCAUGGUGGGGGUUGGAAAGUUUCGGCGGUUGGGGAUGGACUCGCGGCUUAUCAGCUUGUUGGUGGGGUAGUGGCCUACCAAGGCUUUGACGGGUAGCCGGCCUGAGAGGGUGACCGGCCACAUUGGGACUGAGAUACGGCCCAGACUCCUACGGGAGGCAGCAGUGGGGAAUAUUGCACAAUGGGCGGAAGCCUGAUGCAGCAACGCCGCGUGCGGGAUGACGGCCUUCGGGUUGUAAACCGCUUUCGCCUGUGACGAAGCGUGAGUGACGGUAAUGGGUAAAGAAGCACCGGCUAACUACGUG